rnacentral:lncRNA from 1 species
GCCUCGGGGCCACAGGAUUCUGCAGUGUCUGCAGUAAAUGACAUCCAGACAGAGAUUGGGUUUUGAAUGUCAGACCUUGAAACCAUUACCAAAAAUCCUCAAGAAGAAGGCUGUACUUAUGAGGAGGCCUAAAAAAAUUUCCAUGAAUAAACGAGAAGGAAUGUAAAGAUAGAAAAGAAGAUCAAAGUGUAUUUCCUAUUCUUACAGUCAACCCAGAAUAUUUCCCUCCUGAUCAUCAAAACAGGUGUGGGAUUUCUCCCUGCCAACAACCAGUUCUGCAGAUUUUUCAGUGGACACCACUGGCUGCCCUGUCCUUCAGUUCAGUGAUGACACCAUCAGUGCUAGCACACAGAUUGCAAGCUCAUUCUCACAGGACCGCCUCUCACUUCAGACACCUGUGCUGGUGACCUGUCAGCUAUAAAUUGGAGUUCCC